GAGCAGCCGGGGGACUGGGCGGUGGGGCCCAGGCCAUGCCGAGAGAGUCCAGCCUCCAGCUUCUGCUCCAGCUCCUGCAGCUCGGCCUCCUGCCUCCGUGGUGUCUCAUCCUGCAGUUGCUGCUGGAGAUCUGCGCAAUGAAUCCUGGAGAUUGGAAAGCAAAUGGAUGUGGAGGAGGAUAUUGGGAAGUCCCGCUUCAAGUGCUGUCACUAGGGAGGAUUGUCACCCUCUGAAUGCCUACCUUGGAGUCUCCAUCCAGCCCUCCACCCCUACUCCAGUUCUCCGUGGUGUCAAAUUCCAGCCCCUCCUGUUUCCAGAAGAACAACUGAGGCUGUGGAUACACCGAGUUGGAGGAAAUCUAGAAGAGGGGAACUUGGCUGAGGAACAGGAAGAAGAGGUGUUGUGGGGGCGGGGUCCCCACACCUGCAGCGUCUGCACAUGCUGGUUAACCCUGGUGGUCUUUUCCUUCAAGCUGGUGAUGGAGUCUUUGGCGCGGACCAAUCCACUGUUGACCCCGCUCUGGGGAAGAAUGAGAAAAGAAGAGCCUUUGUUUUAAAUCAUGACUUCACUCAGCCUCUGAUCAUUGUAGUCAACUCAGAAAAUGCUUUGUGACUCAUGCCAAGCACACUGUGGCUCAAGGGGGCUGCGCAUGGCAGGAUCCACUUUCUGCUCUUCAACAUUUAAAGAAGAAUCAGCCCAGCCAUGUCACUAUCCAGCCAAAGACUGCAUUUCCCAGACUCCCUUGCAGCUGUGGCCGUAUAAAAAAGUUUCAGCCAAUGGGAUCCAAACUUGUGACUUAGUAUCUGAACCACCAGAACACAGGAACCUGGAGCCUGCUGCAUUUGAAGAGCAAGUCUGCUAUGCUUGUUAAGACUUUUAUGUGAGAGAUAAACUAUCUUGCUUAAGCCAGUUCCUUUGGUUUCUCGGACAGUUGGUGAGCUAAUACACAAAGAGAGAAGAGAACAAUUUCCUCCACUGUAGCAAAGAGACAAUAUCAUGUUGCAGCGAAAGCAGUACUUUGAGAGAAAUCUAGAGCUCUAAACAUCUUCAAAAAAAGAAGAAAGAAUUCAGAGUUAAUAAGCUAACUUUCCUCCUUAAGAAACUAGAGAAAGAAGAGCAAGACAAACUCGAAGGAAGCAAUAAAGACUGGAGCGCAGAAAUAAUGAAAUUGAGAAUAGAUGGAAUCUAACAAAACUGGAAGUUGUUGUUGUUUUUUUUUUUUAAAGAUCAACACAAUUGACAGAUCUAUAGCAAGACUGGCCACAGAAGAGAAGACUCAAAUUACUAAAAGGAAGGAAAGAGGGCACGUUGCUACCAAGCUUGGGGGAAAAAAAAGAACUAUCAGAGAAUACUGUGAACAGAGUGCCUGGCUGGCUCAGUCACUGGAAUGUGUGACUCUUGAUCUCAGGGUUGUGAGUUUGAGCCCCACGUUGGGUGUAGAGAUUGCUUAAAAAUAAAAUUCUUAUUAUCUUUGUUUCUCUA